GACGAACGCUGGCGGCGUGCCUAAUACAUGCAAGUAGAACGCACAGUUUAUACCGUAGCUUGCUACACCAUACACUGUGAGUUGCGAACGGGUGAGUAACGCGUAGGUAACCUGCCUGGUAGCGGGGGAUAACUAUUGGAAACGAUAGCUAAUACCGCAUAAUAUUGAUUAUUGCAUGAUAAUUGAUUGAAAGAUGCUAUUGCAUCACUACCAGAUGGACCUGCGUUGUAUUAGCUAGUAGGUGAGGUAACGGCUCACCUAGGCGACGAUACAUAGCCGACCUGAGAGGGUGAUCGGCCACACUGGGACUGAGACACGGCCCAGACGCCUGAGGGAGGCAGCAGUAGGGAAUCUUCGGCAAUGGACGAAAGUCUGACCGAGCAACGCCGCGUGAGUGAAGAAGGUUUUCGGAUCGUAAAGCUCUGUUGUAAGAGAAGAACGGGUGUGAGAGUGGAAAGUUCACACUGUGACGGUAUCUUACCAGAAAGGGACGGCUAACUACGUG
rnacentral:rRNA from 1 species